AGAAAAUGAGGGGAAGGACUGCAACUGCUUUUAACCAAGAGUUGAUUACAUUUCACAGCUGGUAUGGGAGAAGGAACAGAAGGGGGAAGCUACCGAUGAAGGUCGGGGAGAAAGCAAGGAUAAACCAGCAGGUUUGGAAGCACACAAAGAGGGUCAGAAUUGUACCGAGGGGAAGCCCGGGGGAACGUCAGAAGCAGGGAGAAGAGGCCUGGGCACCUGCAGUGACCAGGGACCGGUGGCUGGCGAGGCAGAGCACAUGGCUGAAAACGUGUCACGUGGGAUCCCCUGGAAGAUGACUGCAUUGCUCACGGUCCUUGCUUUCAUGUAGGAGACCUCAGGGCAAUAGACUUCAAAGCUCUGGAUUUUCCUUUACUCCAAAGGAAAGUAAA